rnacentral:rRNA from 1 species
UACGUAGGGUGCGAGCGUUAAUCGGAAUUACUGGGCGUAAAGAGCUCGUAGGCGGCUCAGUAAGUCGGGUGUGAAACCUCCAGGCUCAACCUGGAGACGCCACCUGAUACUGCUGUGGCUAGAGUCCGGUAGGGGAGCGUGGAAUUCCUGGUGUAGCGGUGAAAUGCGCAGAUAUCAGGAGGAACACCAGCGGCGAAGGCGGCGCUCUGGGCCGGAACUGACGCUGAGGCGCGAAAGCGUGGGGAGCGAACAGG